UACGGGGGGUGCGAGCGUUGUCCGGAAUCACUGGGCGUAAAGGGCGCGUAGGCGGUUUGUUAAGUCUGAUGUGAAAGCCCUGGGCUCAACCUGGGAAUGGCAUUGGAUACUGGCAAUCUAGAAUGUGGUAGAGGGUGGCGGAAUUCCCGGUGUAGCAGUGAAAAUGCGUAGAUAUCGGGGAGGAACACCAGUGGCGAAGGCGAUCUUCUGGUCUGUUUCUGACGCUCAGACGCGACAGCUAGGGGUA
rnacentral:rRNA from 1 species